AACGAACGCUGGCGGCAUGCCUAACACAUGCAAGUCGAACGAGACCUUCGGGUCUAGUGGCGCACGGGUGCGUAACGCGUGGGAACCUGCCCUUAGGUUCGGAAUAACUCCCCGAAAGGGGUGCUAAUACCGGAUAAUGUCUUCGGACCAAAGAUUUAUCGCCUUUGGAUGGGCCCGCGUUGGAUUAGCUAGUUGGUAGGGUAAAAGCCUACCAAGGCGACGAUCCAUAGCUGGUCUGAGAGGAUGAUCAGCCACACUGGGACUGAGACACGGCCCAGACUCCUACGGGAGGCAGCAGUGGGGAAUAUUGGACAAUGGGCGAAAGGCUGAUAGAGCAAUGCCGCGUGAGUGAUGAAGGCCUUAGGGUUGUAAAGCUCUUUUCGCCGGGAUGAUAAUGACAGUACCGGGAGAAUAAGCUCCGGCUAACUCCGUG
rnacentral:rRNA from 1 species